rnacentral:rRNA from 1 species
UUGUGCCAGCAGCCGCGGUAAUACGAAGGGGGCUAGCGUUGCUCGGAAUCACUGGGCGUAAAGGGCGCGUAGGCGGCCAUUUAAGUCGGGGGUGAAAGCCUGUGGCUCAACCACAGAAUUGCCUUCGAUACUGGGUGGCUUGAGUCCGGAAGAGGUUGGUGGAACUGCGAGUGUAGAGGUGAAAUUCGUAGAUAUUCGCAAGAACACCGGUGGCGAAGGCGGCCAACUGGUCCGGAACUGACGCUGAGGCGCGAAAGCGUGGGGAGCAAACAGGAUUAGAUACC